rnacentral:rRNA from 1 species
UACAGAGGUCUCGAGCGUUGUUCGGAUUUACUGGGCGUAAAGGGCGCGUAGGCGGCAAUUCAAGUCAUCUGUGAAAUCUCCGGGCUUAACCCGGAACGGUCAGAUGAUACUGCUUUGCUAGAGUGCGGAAGGGGCAAUCGGAAUUCUUGGUGUAGCGGUGAAAUGCGUAGAUAUCAAGAGGAACACCUGAGGUGAAGACGGGUUGCUGGGCCGACACUGACGCUGAUAGCGCGAAAGCCAGGGGAGCAAACGGG